UACGGGGGGGCAAGCGUUGUUCGGAAUUACUGGGCGUAAAGGGCGCGUAGGCGGCCUGCUAAGUCGGAUGAUGAAAUCCCUCGGCUCAACCCGAGGAACUGACAUCCGAUACUGGCGGGCUUGAAGUCCGGGAGAGGGAUGUGGAAUUCCCGGUGUAGCGGUGAAAUGCGCAGAUAUCAAGGAGGAACACCGGUGGCGAAGGCGGGUCUCUGGGCCGAUACUGACGCUGGAGGAAGCGAAAAGCGUGGGGGAGCGAAACAGG
rnacentral:rRNA from 1 species